rnacentral:piRNA from 1 species
UGGUCAGAACAACAGGUCUUUGCGGCCA